rnacentral:rRNA from 1 species
UACAGAGGUCUCAAGCGUUGUUCGGAUUCAUUGGGCGUAAAGGGUGCGUAGGUGGCGCUGGUAAGUCGGGUGGUGAAAUUUCGGAGCUUAACUCCGAAACUGCAUUCGAUACUGCGGUGCUUGAGGACUGGAGAGGAGGACUGGAAUUCAUGGUGUAGCAGUGAAAUGCGUAGAGAUCAUGAGGAAGACCAGUGGCGAAGGCGGGUCUCUGGACA